CCGAAGCGGCUCGCAUCCCCUAAACCUGCGUCUAUNGCUGGACAUGGCGUCGCGCCUGCUCAACCGGAUUCUCACGAAGAUGGUUUUGAGUAGACGCUGCGGCGAAUGCCAGUCAACAACCCCGCGAAAGAUAAGUUGCUCUUAUGCGAUGUCGGGCGAGGGGCGUCUCGCGAGCGUUUUCUGUCAAAAGGAAGCGCCCGAAUCAAAGCGUACCCCAAUUUUUCAACCCCCUUAACUAUGAAUCUGAACUCAAAAAGGGAGGCGUGAUCGCCGCGGGCCCUCUCCUGUCACAGGGGACCCCCAUUGCGCCGCCCCCUCAACCUUUAACGUU
rnacentral:misc_RNA from 1 species